CCAAUCACAUCGCUUAAUUUCCUUAACAGGAAAGCGGGGGAACCAAAACAAGCGAUGAGGCGCACACCGAGAGCCGUGCCGCCCCAUCACAUUGGGGUGAAUCUUGAUCGCGCAUGCCGCACAUGCGCCAAGUAGGGCGACUCUCACCGCCCGAACCCGUCAGCUAACCUCGUCAGCGUAGUCGAGAGAGGCA
rnacentral:sRNA from 2 species